rnacentral:rRNA from 1 species
CAGCCGCCACGGUAAUACGAACCGUGCGAACGUUAUUCGGAAUCACUGGGCUUAAAGCGCGUGUAGGCGGGCCGGCACGUCCGAUGCUGAAAGCCCCCGGCUCAACCGGGGAAGUGGCUCGGAUACGACCGGCCUGGAGGGGGGUAGGGGGGCCUGGAACUUCCGGUGGAGCGGUGAAAUGCGUUGAGAUCGGAAGGAACGCCCGUGGCGAAAGCGAGGCCCUGACCCUUACUGACGCUGAGACGCGAAAGCCAGGGGAGCGAACGGGAUUAGAUACCCCAGUAGUCCCUGUCUCUUAUAC